GACCUGGUGGUGGAGUAGGAUCCAUACCUACUUAUAGUACCGUGCAAGUGAUGAGCUACUUUAUGUAGGAGUUCUCCGUUCGAUUUGGGGCCGGGUCG